rnacentral:rRNA from 1 species
CCUACGGGCGGCAGCAGUGAGGAAUAUUCGUCAAUGGGCGGGAGCCUGAACCAGCCAAGCCGCGUGAAGGAAGAAGGCGCCAAGCGUCGUAAACUUCUUUUGUCGGGGAACAAAGGGCGCCACGUGUGGCGUUGUGAGUGUACCCGAAGAAAAAGCAUCGGCUAACUCCGUGCCAGCAGCCGCGGUAAUACGGCGGAUGCGAGCGUUGUCCGGAUUUAUUGGGUUUAAAGGGUGCCUAGGCGGUACGGAAAGUCAGCGGGAAAAGCCCGGGGCUCAACCCCGGCGAGCCGUUGAAACUGUCGGACUAGAGACGGCGAGAAGUACGCGGAAUGCGCGGUGUAGCGGUGAAAUGCAUAGAUAUCGCGCAGAACUCCGAUUGCGAAGGCAGCGUACCGGCGCCGGACUGACGCUGAGGCACGAAAGCGUGGGUAUCGAACAGGAUUAGAUACCCUUGUAGUC